UACGUAGGGUGCAAGCGUUGUCCGGAAUUAUUGGGCGUAAAGAGCUCGUAGGCGGUCUGUCGCGUCUGCUGUGAAAACUCAGGGCUUAACCCUGAGCUUGCAGUGGGUACGGGCAAACUAGAGUAUUGCAGGGGAGACUGGAAUUCCUGGUGUAGCGGUGAAAUGCGCAGAUAUCAGGAGGAACACCGGUGGCGAAGGCGGGUCUCUGGGCAAUAACUGACGCUGGAGGAGCGAAAGCCGUGGGGAGCGAACAGG
rnacentral:rRNA from 1 species